rnacentral:rRNA from 1 species
AUUGAACGCUGGCGGCGUGCCUAAUACAUGCAAGUCGAACGAGUGGCGGACGGGUGAGGUAUGUCUGGGAAACUGCCUGAUGUAGGGGGAUAACUACUGGAAACGGUAGCUAAUACCGCAUACCAUCAGAUGUGCCCAGAUUGGAUUAGCUGGUUGGUGGGGUAACGGCUCACCAAGGCGACGAUCCCUAGCUGGUCUGAGAGGAUGACCAGCGACACUGGAGCUGAGACACGGUCCAGCCUCCUACGGGAGGCAGCAGUGGGGAAUAUUGGACAAUGGGCGCAAGCCUGAUGCAGCCAUGCCGCGUGUAUGAGGAAGGCCUUCGGGUUGUAAAGUACGUUCAGCGGGGAGGCGUUACCCGCCGAAGAAGCACCGGCUAACUCCGUGCCAGCAGCCGCGGUAAUAC